CGUAAAUUUGCUUAUACCUCUUUGAUAGUUAAAAUGUCAAAAUAAAAGUUUUCGAGUUUAAAUUUCUUGCUUUAAAAUUCGUUAAAUUUUUUCUGUAUACUCUCACCUCUUCUUCAACAGUCUAGUUUUAUCACUCCUAUUCUUUUUAAAUUAGUGAAACUAUAUAAAUUUUUUCUGAAAAAGUUUUCCUUUUGUUGGUGAAAUACGAAGAAAGAAAAGACACGUCAACUUCUUUUCAAUGGUGCUGCGAACCGUAAAAUUGCUGAGAAUGGAAAUGCUAAUGCACAAAAUGGAUUUCAUGAAAACAAUAGAUCAAAAGGACAAGGAAUAACUAAUGGUUUGAAUGGUCAUUGUUCGUCACAAAACAUGAUUGCCUGUGUUUUCUGUGAAAAAUGUACUGUUGCCAGUAACUGUAGAACUUGCAGUAUUUGUUUUUUGAGUUACUGUCACUUGUGUUCAAUUUUGCAGUAUGGCUCACAGGAAGAAACUGCUGUAUGUCUAUCAUGUCUUCAGUAAAGAUAAUCAUUCACACUUUUAAAUAUAUAUUUGUAAAUUAUGUAUAGAGAUUUUAUGCAAGCAAAAUUUUUUCUAGUUCAAUGUUAAUAAUUUAUUGUAAAUAAACUAAUUUUUAUAAA